AAUGGAACGAGGCCAAUCCUUCACUUUUCUCUCAAGAUCUAUUCUGGACAUUAUUUUGUGAAUUAAAUUCAGAACGGAUUAAAAGUUACAUUCUUUCACAGAGAUAUUACUCUUACCUACGAAAUCGUGUAUAAAUAACUUUUUCAUUGAAUUGCGUAGUCCACGUUUGCAUCACUGUGUACGCAACUUAUCUCUGAUACGUGAUAAAAAAAAUAAGGAAUCUUAAAAUGUCGAAUUUAAAUUACUCGUUAAAAUCUUUCAAAAAACGUGUAAAUUCAUUUUUUCGAUAUUUGAAAAUUCAAGCGUCCGAGAAUUUAAUUAUCGACUCCAGGAUUAAUUAAAUAUUUCGAAUCAUGCCCGAUUCAUUAUCUAAAUGAACGCUCUAAUGGAUAAAAAAAAAAAAAAUUACGUGACGCAAUUUCAAGAAGGAACGGGUUGACUCAGCCGUUUUUCAACGAUACGGAGCAAGCAAUCGAUUUAAUAAUAAUUAAUUGAUUAAUUAAUUCGAAGGGAGAUUAAAAUACUCUUGAUACAUUCCCACGCAAAUAUUAACCCAACAUUUCGCGGAACAUCGAACGAGCGACAAUCCCAUUAACCCUUUCGCAAUGGCGGGGAGGGAGGGGGGGACUCGCGAGCAAUAAAAUGGCGAGCGUCAUUCUAAUUUAUUUAGCGCGCAUUAGCAAGUGACGACGCGACAGUCGAAUCGGUCGUCGAAUAAUCCACGCUCGAUCCAUUCUGGGCUGCACGUGUGCCUCGUAUGAAAGGCAAACCUGCACAUGUUGUCCAUAUGGUCAUACGGAUACGCGUGGCAAGAGAGUACAUAGACGUUUUGUAAACGCUCACGUUUUCUAUACGGCUCUCUCCGGUAAUGCUCCUCGGACCGUGUUCUCGCUUUUGUGUUGCAGCUCGCAUUCAAAGUUUACAAGCAAUCUUCACCUACUGAUACCGAUCGACUUUACUAACUCGAAGAUUUACUACGUGUGCGAUAAAUUUGCAACGCUGAGAAACUAUCUUCUCUGAAAAGAGAAAAAAAAUAGAUUGGAUCAUAUAUCCGUGAUAGAUUUAAUGGAAAAAGUAAGAACGUAUUGAAAAACUUACGUAUCGGAUUCAGGAGAAUUAUGUAUUAGUAUAUGAUAUUUUGAAUAUUGUGAAAAAUGUUAUUCAAUUCGAUGAUUCAUCGAAUUUAAAUGCAGUAUUGAAUAAAAAAAUAACUUGAACUUGUACGAACUUCAUUCAUAGCAGGAACAAUUUGAACAAAGAAGAUAAAUAUGUAUAUAUUUAAAUAAAAGAGUAGGAUUAUAGGCAUCAGAUAAAAAUUGUACAGACACGAGUUAGAUAUUUCAAUAGUUUUACAUAUAUGUAACGUUAGAAAUAAAAUAAAAUAAAGUCAGUUAUAAAAAUUCGCCAAAAAUAUUUAUAUUAAACGUAGAUGAAGACGACAACUUGUGAAAAGAUGAAAAAGUGAGUCAUCUAGUGAGACAUCUAGUGACAAUUUCAGAUAUUAGUGAACGUUUCGAACUAUAAUCGAAAGUUAUCGCGGCUAAAUUCAUCCUUGACAAAAAGUGAGACAUCUAGUAACAAUUUCAGAAAUUAGUCGUACGAACGUUUCGAACUAUAUAAUCGAAAGUUAUCGCGAAGAGAAUCGAGCGUGGCUAAAUUCAUCUUUGCACGAUUUAAUGGUAACGUAAUAUAAUCGAAGCGUAACGAGAGAACCAAAAGAUGCGUCCGGUGAAUCGGCGUCAUAAGCAACAAAGAGGUUAUGCUAAUGGGUAACGUGCAGCGAUUUUGCAAUAUCAGACUCGGUCGACACGCGUGCCUCGAAUCGAAUCCACGAGGACGCCACUCGUGCACGUGCACACACACGUCUCUGGAAUUCCUCGUUUCCCCCUUCGAAUGGCAUUCCUCAGGCCUCUGUCGUGUCACCUUCUUCCUCGAACAAUUGAGUCGCGAUGCUAUUUGUCGAUCCCCAACCGUAUAUCCGAGUGAGCAAAUACCUUGUGAAACCUCUUCCGUAGAAAUGGAAACGGAUUCGAAACGUCUCGACAUGCUAUCUCAUUACUCAUCUGCAUUGUGAAUUUGUCUCUUUCCAGUUGGUUGAUAUAGUGUGCGUUGGCUUCGUAAAUUUCGACCGUGAAAAGGCAGUGAUAUCUGAGAUGAUACGUACGAAUUGAUGGUGUAUACGAUAUAUCUUUUUUUUUUUUAAGUAGAAUAUGACAUCUAGGAUAGAAACUCGUUUACUUUUACAUUGUCAUUUCUACCACUUUUUAAAAACGAAACUUCAGAGGGAACAUUGAACGUGAAUGAGAUUAGUAUUCGACUUCAGACCAGAGGGUGUUACUGUAUCAUAGUUACUGAAUUGAAACGUGGAAUAUAAACGUGUAUAUAUCUAUGUAUUGAGUAAAAUAAAUUCUUCUAUCUUCUGUUUUAUCGAAACUUUGCUGAAUGUGCAGCGGAACAUCCAGCGUCCCGAUUUACCUGGCCAAGUAGCACAUUCGCAAGUUGGCGCAGUACCACGACCUAAAUUUCGUGUCCGUUAAAUAUUUCACGUUGCAGUGGUGACCGUGUACUGGAGAUAAUACUCGACGCAAAGCAGAUACGCUUUUUCUGCCGACCGUCCACUUUGUUGGUCGAUAAUGUUGGUCCAUUUAUGAUCGGUAUAAGAUAAUACACUAUUUUAGCAUGUACACAAACCAUUCAACGCGAAAUUACUAAACAAUAUUUCGUCGGAUAUAUUUACGAAACACGAUCCACGAUAUUUCUUUUCUUCUACAAAAUAAUUCGCUUUUAUUUGUGUAAUAAUAAGAGUAACGAUAAGAAACAUUAGGAAUAUAUACUAGCAUUUUGCCAAGUCGAUGGUAGAAUAAACGAAACUUUGUUAUGACA